UGGGACCCCCCACAUUAUCCCCAACCUCCAGCGUAGAGCAAUGGAGGGACGCUGCGCUCGAUGCCCAGACCAGCCAGCCGCUUCCCUCGCAGAUGGGGCUUAUCUGCAGCCACCAGAGCCUCUACCACGCCUAUAAAACCCCUUGGACGCCCUCUCUCAAUCCCGCCGUCUUGCAUCAUCCCCCGCCGCUCGCACUGGGUGCCCUCGCCGUUUGAAUCUAGUCGAAGCCGAGCCGCUCCUCCGAUGAUUACGUCGCCGGAUCCGCCGGAGAAGCCACCCACUCGAUGCCGAGCCGCCAGAGCUCGCGCAACUCUCCAGAGCCCCACCAUCUUCGUCCCGUCCCUUCCAGACAACGCCGACGCCCCGCGCCACCACUCCGCAAAAGCCCUCGACACGCCGGACCCCGCUGCCUCCUCCCCCCGCCGGAACCUGCCGGAGCCAUCGUCCCGCUGACGCCGAGCCCCUACCAGACGCCGUUGCCUCUAUUGCCUGAAGUGCGAAGCAAAUUACUAUCAUUCUCUAGAAUUGAACCACUAGUAGCAAGGCAAGUUCAUAUUUGACCAUACUUUUAAUUACCUAUGUUUUUUAUAUGCACUUAGUCCUUUGUGGUAGGAUUGCAUGGUAGGGAUUUAUGCCGAAUGGCUAUGAGCUUACCUAGUAGUUCCAUUGAGGUAGGUCUAAACUAUACAACCUUUGUCACCGUUGUGUAAGUUUGUUUUUUCCUCGCUGAUGUAGACGUGGAUUGGGAAGUGUUCACGGCGAGACAUGAGUGACAAAGUAGUAAUUAGGACCAAGACUUUUAAAUGAACUACCUGGGCGGAAUUGGUUUGGAUGGUGGCGAAGUAUAGUGGGAGCAUGCAUGGGAAAUCUAUGGUGGUGCACCACUAGUAGUCUGCCGCCCAGGCUCAAAGGGAUCAAACAUGUUUUCAUGUCUAGAAGCUUACGUGUGCAGCCACAAGCCAAUAUGGGCUCUGGCUUAGUUGAGUAGUUAGUGUGACCUCUUCCGGGAUAGGCUAGCCGAUGUAGAAUGAGUAGGUGUACCAGCCAAUCCCUGGGUUAAGGGGAAAAUACUUUUGAAAGACUAGGUCUCGGUCAUCCUAUUCUGAAACGCCAGGCAGUGCAAGAACUUCAAGGGAGGCGAUUGAGUCUUGUGGGGAAAAGUGUGCAAACCUCUACAAAGUGUUAAAACCUAAUCGAUUAGCCAUGUCCCCGGUUACGGACAACUUGGGCAUCUAGUAGUGGAAAUGUUGGGAGAUCUCGUCACUCUUAAUUUAAACAGUUGGGUUUUAAAUGAAACUUUGGGAAUGGACUGAGUUGGGUUUGCCAACUCAUCCUAACCGGUGGGACCCCCAACUUAUCGUCCCCAACCUCCCGCGCAGAGCACGGGAGGGAUGCCACGCUCAGCGCCCGAACCCGCCGGCCGCUUCCCUCGUGGAUGGGGCUUACCCGCUAGCCACCGAAGCCUCUACCGCGCCUAUAAAACCCCUCGGACGCCCUCUCACAAUCCCGCCAUCUCGCAUCAUCCCUCGCCUCUUGCACUGGGCGCCCUCGCCGUUUGAAUCUCUCCGGAGCAGUGCCACUGCACCGACGAUUACGUCGUCGGUGGUGCACCCGAGCCCUAGUUUUCUUUGUCAAUUUAUUCCCCUUGUCAGUGCAUAUCCGUUUAACAUAUUUUCUUCCCCUAGGAUCCGUCGGCGAAGCCACCCACUCGAUGCCGAGCCGCCAGAGCUCACGCAACUCGCCGAAGCCCCGUCGUCUUUGCCCCGCCCCUUCCAGACCAAGCCGACACCCCACACCACCACUCCCCGGACGGCCUCGACACGCCGGACCCCGCCACCGGAACCCGCCGGAGCCGCCGCCCCUCCGACGCCAAGCCCCUGCCGGACACCGUUGCAUCUAUGAGCCGCCCCCUCGUUCAUGUAGAUUAGUUUUUUUAAUUUGAACCGGUACGCGGUUAACUGCGAGUGUUGUUUAAAAUGUUCGGUUUUAUUUUAAAUCGACCAGCCAGUAGUUUAGCCGCAGUGUGCCAUUUUUAUUAUUUACUAGCCAUUCGCUGGUUUACCCACGUAACACACACUUUUUAGCCAACCAGAGGCCGCCACGUGGCCAGGGACCUUUGUGUGUUUAUUUUGCUUCACGGUUAGUCCCUCUAAAUUGCCGAUUAGUUCCUGAUCUUAGAAUAGCUACAACUUUUAAACCGUAGGUCCAAAUUCAAUGAAACCAAUGGCAAAUUCUUCGUAUCGAUUAGAUCUACCCAGAGGACCUAUCUUUGCAAACUUUUGUAUUCAAAAUUUGAAUGUUUUAAAUUCAAAUUUAAACUCUAUUCGGCUAUAUCUCCUAAACCAUAGCCCCGUUUGAAUUGAUUCUUUUUGCACUUUGUCACCAUAGCUUAACCCUAUGACUUGGACUGUUGCCACAAUAUUUUUUACACGGCUGGGAUCUAUCCAUGGUAGUUUUAUUACUAUGCCAUGUAUGCACAUUAUUUCACAUCACUUUUCUAACCAUUUGUCACAUGUUGUUUUGCACUUAGAAAUUUUUGUGAUGGUUGAGUGUAUUGGGUUUUCUUUUGGUUUUUUUCGAGUCUUUUUGUUGUGCAUGUUAUUUUGGUUCUCUGGAGUGAUUGCUUAUGUGAGUCCAUUUACUUUGACGAUAGAUUGCCCGAAGUGUGAAGCAAAUUACUAUCAUUCUCUAGAAUUGAACCACCAGCACCAAGGCAAGUUCACAUUUGACCAUACUUUUAAUUACCUAUGUUUUCUUAUAUGCACUUAGUCCUUUGUGGUAGGAUUGCAUGGUAGGGAUUUAUGUCGAAUGGCUAUGCUCUUAUCUAGUAGUUCGUUUGAGGUAGGUCUGAACUAUACAACCUUUGUCACCACUGUGUACGUUUGUUUUUGCCUCGCUGAUGUAGACGUGGAUUGGGAAGUGGUCACGACGAGGCAUGAGUGAAAAAGUAGUAACUAGGACCAAGACUUUUAAAUGAACUACCUGGGCGAAAUUGGUUUGAAUGGUGGCGAAGUACAUUGGGAGCAUGCAUGGGAAAUCCAUGGUGGUGCACCACUAGUGGUCUGUCGCCUAGGCUCAAACGAAUCAAACGUGUUUUCAUGUGUAGAAGCUUGCAUGUGCAACUAUAAGCCGAUAUGGGCUCUGGUUUAGUUGAGUAGUUAGUGUGACCUCUUCCGGGAUAGGCUAGCAGAUGUAGAAUGAGUAGGUGUACCGGCCUAUCCGUGGGUUAAGGGGAAAUACUUUCGAAAGACUAGGUCUCGGUCAUCCUAUUCUCAAACGCUAGGCAGUGCGAGAACUUCAAGGGAGGCGAUCGAGUCUUGUGGAUAAAAGUGCACAGACCUUUGUAGAGUGUUAAAACCUAAUCAAUUAGCCGUAUCCCGGUUACAGACAACUUGAGCAUCUAGUAGUGGACAUGUCGAGAGAUCUCGUCACUCUUAAUUUAAACAGUUGGGUUUUAAAUGAAACUUUGGGAAUGGAUUUAGUUGGGUUUGCCAACUCAUCCUAUGCUAUUACUGUAGUGGUAGAAUAAUAUCUUUUAUUCUAG